AAACCAUCACACUGAUUUUCCAUUCCAGAUAGCUGAACACGACAAUGUCUAACCAUUCCAGAUAGCCAAACACGACAAUGUCUAACCAUUCCAGAUAGCCAAACACGACAAUGUCUAACAGAGCCACACCGUGGUGACGAUGGAGGAUAUCAAGAACUCUGAUUCCAGUGCUGGCGCAACGGAAACUGGUACAAGACAUUCAAAACAGUAUGGCUUUAUUGGGAUACGUGAAAAACACGUGGCAAUUCUUCAAGGAUCUAGAACUAGAAAUACCAUUUGACCCAGCGAUCCCAUAACUAGGUAUAUACCCAAAGGAUUAUACAUCAUUCUGCUAUAAAGACACAUGCACACGUAUGUUUAUUGCGGCACUAUUCACAAUAGCAAAGACUGGGAACCAACCCAAAUGCUCACACUUAGCUGGUCAUUCUCCUCCCGGGUGCAGCAGCCUAGAGGCACUCCAUGAGUGUGUGUCUGGGACGAGGGUGCAUCUGGGACUCACGCUCUGGAAUGUUCAUUGCUGCGGUGUCCACAGCAGCCCCUGAUCUGAAAUAAAGCAAAUCUGUGUGUGAGAGGAGCCGCCGUACAGUGGUGAAGACAAAUGAACCACAGGUGCGUCCAGCCCUGAAGAACCUGGAGCCACUCAGGGCAACAGGGAAGCGAGAGGCAGAAAUGCACCUGACACGAUGUCCUGUAUACAAACUGGAAAAGCCGGAGAACUGACGGAGACGAGUUGGGGAGGCGUUCAUAAACAGUAGCCAGAAGAAAAGGCAAGAGAACGAUGUUCACACAAUUUAGGAUUGUGCCAGAUCACCCAACAAAAGAUGGCUAACACACUGAAAGCAGGUCUCUGGCAAAAACAGGAGUAUGAAGAACAUGGAAGUACAUUUCAAAUUGCUUGUGGGAGGCCUGGCGUGGUGGCUCACGCCUGUCAUCUCAGCACUUUGAGAGGCCAAGGUGGGUGGAUUACUUGAGGUCAGGAGUUCGAGACCAGCCUGGCCAACACAGUGAAACCUGUCUCUACUAAAAAUACAAAGAGUAGCCGGGCGUGGUGACGCCUGCCUGUAGUCCCAGCUACUCAGGAGACAGAGGCAGGGCAAUCGCUAGAGCCCGUGAGGCAGAGGUUGCAGUGAGCUGAGAUUGAGCCACUGCACUCCAGCCCGGAUGACAGAGUAAAACUCUGUCUCAAAAGCAAACAAACAAAACAAAACAAAACAAAACAAAAUUGCUUGUAAGAGACUCCUGCCAGCAUAGAAACAUUUACCCAUCUAAUGAUUAUUCAAGACCUGGGAGGGAAUGAAGGUGUUUUAUUUGCGCACCAAAUUCAAUUAACUAAAUUGAAUGGAGUCAAACUAAAGAAACUAUUAAUGGGUCAAUUUCAGGAAGAAAUUCUAGACAGGAAGACUGAUUACGCGCAAGAAGAAGGCCGGACACUGUGGCUCACGCCUCUAAUCCCAGUACUUUGGGAGGCUGAGGCAAGAGGAUCACUUGAGCCCAGGAGGUUGACACCAGCCUGGGCAACAUGCCAAAAUCCUGUCUGUACCAAAAAAAAAAAAAAAAACCUUAGCUGGGGCAUGGUGGCAUGCAUUUGUAGUCCUAGCUACUUGGGGGGCUGAGGUUGGAGGAUCGCUUGAGCCCUGGAGUUCAAGGCUGCAGUGAGCCAAGAUUGCACCAGAGGGUGACAGAAUGAGACUCUGUCUCCAAAAAAAAAAAAAAAA
rnacentral:lncRNA from 1 species